rnacentral:lncRNA from 10 species
CUCUAUUCCAGAAGCAGUCUGGAGCACAAAGAAUCCCUAAUCACUGACAUUAAGAAAGAAGAAAAAUAUUCCUAGGACGAUCCUGGAGAGCAAAGGUCAUCAGCAGUCACUUGACUUUCCUUGGAUUUCUCAACUGCAGUAGUCACAUGGUCUGCUGAAAAUGAAUUCUCUUUAUUUUCAUCUGAUUUCAAGGAAUUAUGGUUUUCAGUGAUUUCUUCAUUUGGAUCUAUUUUGAGACAGAGUAAUAGCAUUAAAACCCCCUUCUGAAUUAAUAAGAGAAAGAAGAGACACAGACAUGCAGAGAAAACACAGGGAAGAAGGCCACAUGGGAUGAAGGCAGAGAAGGGAAUGAUGCAGCUACAAGCCAGCUACAAGCCAAGGAAUGCCAUGGACUGCUGGCAACCACUAGAAAGAAGCUGGAAGAGGCAAGGAAGGAUUCUUCCGUGAUGCCUUCAGAGGAAAAUGGCCCUGCAAACACCUUGAUCUUGGACUUCUGACCUCCAGAACUAAGAGAAUACAUUUCUGUUGUUUUAAGUUAACCAGUUUGUGGCAAUUUGUUAC